rnacentral:rRNA from 1 species
AGAGUUCGAUCCUGGCUCAGGAUGAACGCUGGCGGCGCGCCUAACACAUGCAAGUCGAACGGCACCCCUCUCCGGAGGGAAGCGAGUGGCGAACGGCUGAGUAACACGUGGAGAACCUGCCCCCUCCCCCGGGAUAGCCGCCCGAAAGGACGGGUAAUACCGGAUACCCCGGGGUGCCGCAUGGCACCCCGGCUAAAGCCCCGACGGGAGGGGAUGGCUCCGCGGCCCAUCAGGUAGACGGCGGGGUGACGGCCCACCGUGCCGACAACGGGUAGCCGGGUUGAGAGACCGACCGGCCAGAUUGGGACUGAGACACGGCCCAGACUCCUACGGGAGGCAGCAGUGGGGAAUCUUGCGCAAUGGGGGGAACCCUGACGCAGCGACGCCGCGUGCGGGACGGAGGCCUUCGGGUCGUAAACCGCUUUCAGCAGGGAAGAGUCAAGACUGUACCUGCAGAAGAAGCCCCGGCUAACUACGUGCCAGCAGCCGCGGUAAUACGUAGGGGGCGAGCGUUAUCCGGAUUCAUUGGGCGUAAAGCGCGCGUAGGCGGCCCGGCAGGCCGGGGGUCGAAGCGGGGGGCUCAACCCCCCGAAGCCCCCGGAACCUCCGCGGCUUGGGUCCGGUAGGGGAGGGUGGAACACCCGGUGUAGCGGUGGAAUGCGCAGAUAUCGGGUGGAACACCGGUGGCGAAGGCGGCCCUCUGGGCCGAGACCGACGCUGAGGCGCGAAAGCUGGGGGAGCGAACAGGAUUAGAUACCCUGGUAGUCCCAGCCGUAAACGAUGGACGCUAGGUG